UUCUGGAUGGAGCCGCUACUCUUUGGUGCUUAAAGAAUGGUUGUCCGUAGUAUGGUCUCUAUAUUCAUGGUGAUUAAUAUCGGACAACCAUUGUUUUAGUAUCCAAAUUUGCU
rnacentral:miRNA from 1 species